GACAGAGGGUGCAAACGUUGUUCGGAAUUACUGGGCGUAAAGCGCGUGUAGGCGGCCAUGCAAGUCGGAUGUGAAAUCCCGCGGCUCAACCGUGGAAGUGCACUCGAAACUGCGUGGCUAGAGUCCUGGAGAGGAAGGUGGAAUACUUGGUGUAGAGGUGAAAUUCGUAGAUAUCAAGUGGAACACCGGUGGCGAAGGCGACCUUCUGGACAGUGACUGACGCUGAGACGCGAAAGCGUGGGGAGCAAACAGG
rnacentral:misc_RNA from 1 species